rnacentral:rRNA from 1 species
ACGGAAGGCAGCAGUGGGGAAUAUUGCACAAUGGGGGAAACCCUGAUGCAGCGACGCCGCGUGAGCGAAGAAGUAUUUCGGUAUGUAAAGCUCUAUCAGCAGGGAAGAAAUUGACGGUACCUGACUAAGAAGCACCGGCUAAAUACGUGCCAGCAGCCGCGGUAAUACGUAAGGGGCAAGCGUUAUCCGGAUUUACUGGGUGUAAAGGGGGCGUAGACGGCUGGACAAGUCUGAAGUGAAAGCCCAGGGCUCAACCCUGGGACUGCUUUGGAAACUGCCCGGCUAGAGUGCUGGAGAGGUAAGUGGAAUUCCUAGUAUAGCGGUGAAAUGCGUAGAUAUUAGGAGGAACACCAGUGGCGAAGGCGGCUUACUGGACUGUAACUGACGUUGAGGCUCGAAAGCGUGGGGAGCAAACAGGAUUAGAUACCCUGGUA